UACGAAGGGGGCUAGCGUUGCUCGGAAUCACUGGGCGUAAAGCGCACGUAGGCGGAUCUUUAAGUCAGGGGUGAAAUCCCAAGGCUCAACCUUGGAACUGCCUUUGAUACUGGGGAUCUCGAGUCCGGAAGAGGUUGGUGGAACUGCGAGUGUAGAGGUGAAAUUCGUAGAGAUCGGGAGGAACACCAGAGGCGAAAGCGGCGACCUGGACAAUGACUGACACUCAACUGCGAAAGCGUGGGGAGCAAACAGG
rnacentral:rRNA from 1 species